rnacentral:rRNA from 1 species
GACGAACGCUGGCGGCGUGCUUAACACAUGCAAGUCGAACGAAGUGGCGAACGGGUGAGUAACGCGUAAUCAACCUGCCCUUCAGAGGGGGACAACAGUUGGAAACGACUCCUAUUCCCGCAUACUGAAGGAGGGGAUUGUGGCUGAUUAGCUAGGUGGAGGGGCAACGGCCCACCAAGGCGAUGAUCAGUAGGCGGUCUGAGAGGAUGAACGGCCAAAUUGGGAAUGAGACACGGACCAGAAUCCUACGGGAGGCAGCAGUGGGGAAACUUCCGCAAUGGACGAAAGGCUGACGGAGCAAAGCCGCGUGAGUGAUGACGGCCUUCGGGUUGUAAAGCUCUGUUAAUCGGGACGCGGUACCGGAAUAGAAAGCCACGGCUAACUACGUGCCAGCAGCCGCGGUAAUUC